GGGGGCAACAGACCAGUCGCUCCCGGCACUCACGGCUGCUGCUGUUUCCCAGGCGGAUCGGAAUCGCCGGCACCUCCGGGUCUGACCAGCCCCAUCCUUGCCGGGGUGAGUGCGGCAGCUGCCAUCCUCCUCCUCCUCUUCCUCCUCGUGGCCUUCGUCUGCUUCAGAAUAACCCGAGCCAGAAAAGGAGCCGCACCGAGACCGAGCAGCCCUUUGGGGGUGUCGAAGGCCCUGGAUCAGCAAGACCCUGUCUGUGAGUAACACACCCAAGAGGGUACAAGGGUGGGACAGGAGCCCUGGAGAGGGGUGGAGCUUGUGGGGGCUCCACCCACAUGGGGCAGGGCCUGAUUUACAGCUGCUGCUGGGCGGGACUAAGGAGAAGGCCCCAG
rnacentral:lncRNA from 1 species